rnacentral:snRNA from 1 species
AAAAAAAAAAAAAAGAACAAUGCAGAGAAGAUCAGCAUGCCCCCUGCAUAAGGAUGACAUGCAAAUUUGUUAAGUGUUCCAUAUUUUU